rnacentral:rRNA from 1 species
UACGUAGGGUGCGAGCGUUAAUCGGAAUUACUGGGCGUAAAGCGUGCGCAGGCGGUUCGUUGUGUCGGCGGUGAAAGCCCCGGGCUUAACCUGGGAAUGGCCGUUGAAACUGGCGAACUGGAGUGUGGCAGAGGGGGGUGGAAUUCCGCGUGUAGCAGUGAAAUGCGUAGAGAUGCGGAGGAACACCAGAGGCGAAGGCGGCACCCUGGCCUAAUACUGACACUGAGACGCGAAAGCAUGGGGAGCGAACGGG